UGAAUACGAGAUGCUACGGCGUCGAAGCAGUCUAUGUCAUACUUCCAAGAAAAGCCUGCACUGUCAUAAACAAAUAAUGCCUGUACCAUAACCGACACAGGUGGGUAGGUAGAGUAUACUAAGGGGCGCGAGAUAACUCUCUCUAAGGAACUCGGCAAAAUGACUCCGUAACUUCGGGAGAAGGAGUGCCUUAUUUAUAAGGUUGCAAUAACAAGAUCCAAGCAACUGUUUACCAAAAACACAGGUCUCCGCUAAGUCGUAAGACGAUGUAUGGGGGCUGACGCCUGCCCAGUGCCAGAAGGUUAAAGAAGUUGGUUAGCAUCCGCGAAGCUGAUAACUGAAGCCCUGGUGAACGGCGGCCGUAACGAUAACGGUCCUAAGGUAGCGAAAUUCCUUGUCGGGUAAGUUCCGACCCGCACGAAAGGCGUAAUGAUUUGGAUACUGUCUCGGAGAGGGGCUCGGUGAAAUAGACUUGUCUGUGAAGAUGCGGACUACCUGCACCAGGACAGAAAGACCCUAUGAAGCUUUACUGUAACCUGAAAUUGAAAUUGGACUUUACUUGCGCAGUAUAGGUGGGAGGCGUUGAGAAUAUUCUUGCGGGAUUAUUGGAGCCAUCAGUGAGAUACCACUCUUGUAAUGUUAGAUUUCUAACUUUGUAUCAUUAUCUGGUCAAAGAACAGUUUCAGGCGGGCAGUUUGACUGGGGCGGUCGCCUCCUAAACGGUAACGGAGGCGCACAAAGGUUUCCUCUGAACGGGUAGAAAUCGUAUCUAGAGUGUAAAGGCAUAAGGAAGCUUGACUGUGAGACCUACAAGUCGAGCAGGGACGAAAGUCGGUCUUAGUGAUCUGACGGUGCUGAGUGGAAAGGCCGUCACUCAACGGAUAAAAGUUACUCUAAGGAUAACAGGCUGAUCUCCCCCAAGAGUUCACAUCGACGGGGAGGUUUGGCACCUCGAUGUCGGCUCAUCGCAUCCUGGGGCGGUAGUACGUCCCAAGGGUUGGGCUGUUCGCCCAUGAAAGCGGUACGCGAGCUGGGUUCAGAACGUCGUGAGACAGUUCGGUCCAUAUCCGGUGUAGGCGUUAGAAUAUUGAGAGGAGCCUUCUUUAGUACGAGAGGACCGAGAAGGACAUACCUCUGGUGUACCAGUUAUCGUGCCAACGGUAAACGCUGGGUAGCUACGUGUGGAGUGGAUAACCGCUGAAAGCAUCUAAGUGGGAAGCCCACCUCAAGAUAAGUAUUCC
rnacentral:rRNA from 1 species